UCUCGAUUCGUCUAGUGGUUAGGAUACCUGCUUGUCAUCUCCUUGACUAUAGUCUCAAAGACUGAAAUUCGCAGGUGGCCGGGGUUCAAUUCCCCGAUCGAGAG